rnacentral:tRNA from 1 species
GGAGGGGUCGCAUAGCCCGGUCUAGUGCAGCCGUCUCGAAAGCGGCCAGGUGUCAAAAGCCUCGUGGGUUCGAAUCCCACCCCCUCCG